rnacentral:rRNA from 1 species
UAGGCAUAACAGUUCCAUACCCUGUAGCCUACCCUGUAGGUUACCCUGUAGCGCUACCCUGUAUCAACUCCUGCUGCGGCCCGCCGGUGGUACACUAAACUCUUGUUUUAUUUUAUAUUCUGAGCGUAUUAUUUUAAUAAUUAAAACUUUCAACAACGGAUCUCUUGGUUCUGGCAUCGAUGAAGAACGCAGCGAAAUGCGAUAAGUAAUGUGAAUUGCAGAAUUCAGUGAAUCAUCGAAUCUUUGAACGCACAUUGCGCCCAUCAGUAUUCUGGUGGGCAUGCCUGUUCGAGCGUCAUUUCAACCCUUAAGCCUAGCUUAGUGUUGGGAAUCUACUGUAUUGUAGUUCCUUAAAGACAGUGGCGGAGCGAUAGUUGUCCUCUGAGCGUAGUAAAUUUAUUUCUCGCUUCUGUAAGGCUCUAUUCUCCCGCCAUAAAACCCCCAAUUUUUUAGUGGUUGACCUCGGAUCAGGUAGGAAUACCCGCUGAACUUAAGCAUAUCAAUAAGCGGAGGAA